GUAAUGCCGGAUGCUCCGACUCCUCGCAUGGGGUGUCGGGAAAGAUUUCAUCGGUAUGGGAUGGGGUCGCGUCCUAUCAGGUAGUCGGCGGGGUAACGGCCCACCGAGCCUACGACGGGUAGCCGGCCUGAGAGGGCGACCGGCCACAUUGGGACUGAGAUACGGCCCAGACUCCUACGGGAGGCAGCAGUGGGGAAUAUUGCACAAUGGGCGCAAGCCUGAUGCAGCGACGCCGCGUGCGGGAUGACGGCCUUCGGGUUGUAAACCGCUUUUGAUCGGGAGCAAGCCUUCGGGUGAGUGUACCUUUCGAAUAAGCACCGGCUAACUACGUGCCAGCAGCCGCGGUAAUACGUAGGGUGCAAGCGUUAUCCGGAAUUAUUGGGCGUAAAGGGCUCGUAGGCGGUUCGUCGCGUCCGGUGUGAAAGUCCAUCGCUUAACGGUGGAUCUGCGCCGGGUACGGGCGGGCUGGAGUGCGGUAGGGGAGACUGGAAUUCCCGGUGUAACGGUGGAAUGUGUAGAU
rnacentral:rRNA from 1 species